GAUGAACGCUGGCGGCGUGCCUAAUACAUGCAAGUCGAGCGAAUGGAUUAAGAGCUUGCUCUUAUGAAGUUAGCGGCGGACGGGUGAGUAACACGUGGGUAACCUGCCCAUAAGACUGGGAUAACUCCGGGAAACCGGGGCUAAUACCGGAUAACAUUUUGAACCGCAUGGUUCGAAAUUGAAAGGCGGCUUCGGCUGUCACUUAUGGAUGGACCCGCGUCGCAUUAGCUAGUUGGUGAGGUAACGGCUCACCAAGGCAACGAUGCGUAGCCGGCAUGAGAGGGUGAUCGGCCACACUGGGACGGGGACACGGACCAGAAUCCGACGGGAGGCAGCAGUAGGGAAGCUUCCGAAAUGGACGAGAGUCUGACGGAGCAAAGCCGCGUGAGUGAUGAAGGCUUUCUGGUCGUAAAACUCUGUUGUUAGGGAAGAACAAGUGCUAGUUGAAUAAGCUGGCACCUUGACGGUACCUAACCAGAAAGCCACGGCUAACUACGUGCCAGCCGCCGCCGUAA
rnacentral:rRNA from 1 species